AUGCUUGGCCUACCAUGCGUGGGCUGGUUAUCUCUAGUCAGGUCCCUCAGCAGGCUCGCACCUGCCCAGCCUGUCCCUGCUCUCUUAGCCACAUGAUGACAUUGAAUAGUUACCACGUAAAAGGUAGAGGUGGACAAAGUUCUUUCGAACCAGAUUGCUUAAAGCUGGGUGGGGACAAGUUUGGGGCAAUAAAGAGCAACCGUAGUGAGGAGGAUGAAGUCUAAUGGAUGGGUUCAAAGAGGAUGCCAACACCUGUUCAGAGGCCACAGCAGGAAGUUCUUCUCUUGCUAGCCAUUCUUGUUGCCACAGGGAAUCUGCUACCAUUGGGAUAGUCAUAAAGCUUUUUCUUUUUGAUAAGAAUUACUGUAUGGAAAUAUUACCUCAGAGGACUGUGAUAGGUAAGAGCUACCCCCUACAUAGCUAGAGCAGCUGAGAACUCAGAAAGAUGCCUAGUCCAUAGGCCAAAUUAUCACAGGUGUGAAGAUCACUGAGCUCGGCCCGAGGUCAGUAUCACAGACACAUGGUACUGGCCUGAGGCCCGUUUGGGAAAGUACAGAAGUAGACUAGUAAUUUCAACAGCUACUGAAUUUUUUUUUUCUUGGUACCUGGGAUCAAACUCAGGACCUUGCGCUUGCAAGGCAGGCAUGGUGCCACUGAGCUAAAUCCCCGGCCCAUGAAGGUUUUAUACUUUGAGUGAAAAGCUAAAAGUUUCACCUUUUCUUUCCCCACCUCAUGUAAUGUAAGAUCAAAAUUAUUGGGUCAUAUAUUCCAAAAUUCCUCAGGAUUCAAAACCAAACAGGAAUUGGCAGUAUUAAAAGAAUGCCAUCCGUAAAAUUACUAACAACUGUGCUCUUGUGGUCUUUUUCCUAAACCACAUCCCAUGUUUUUUAUUUAGUAAUUCAGAGUCAAUCAUUUAACCCACCCCACAAAACCUGUGCUUGGUACUAUGUUAGGCCUAGAAAUGUGAUUUUUUUUUUUUAAGACACAAAAGUUCACAGAUUAGUUAUUUAAAUCUAUAUUUACAGUUUCAUCAGAAAAAUGGGUUUUGUUGACAGAAGAUUCAAUUUCUUCACCAUAUAAAAACAUUGAAUGAGCCUGGGAUUUAGCUCAGUGGUUCUGCCACCUGCCUCACAAGCACAAGGUCCUGAGUUUGAUCCCCGGUGCCAAAAAAAAACACUGAAUGAAGUGGUGACUACUGGGAGAGAAAACAGGGAUAUAAUUCACACUGAACUGUGAAAUAUUACCCCUGGCUGCCUGGUAAGCUGACACCCAAGUUCACACAAAUCAUUCAUCUUCAAGGACAGGGAAUCCUAACCUGAGGGCCCCACUUAAAGAACCCUGCAGUUAAUUUCAUUUCACUAACACCAGCCCGAUCUUCAUUUAUUCCAUUUUAAUUGAUAAAAUUUUUUCUUAUUGCUUUUAAAUGUUGCUUUAAAGAAAAAAAUAAUCUCAAUGCUUAGCUGCAAGACGCAGAAAUUUGGUGUGAGCUAUAUGAUACCAUCUCCCUUCCACUGGGCAAGAGGUUUUAAAUAUCCUGACUAGAAUCCCUAAAUCUUUAAUGUAAUGCAAGAUCUUUGUAAGAUAUACUUUGUAAGCUGAAGGGCACUUGAGCAAGUUUUCCUUAGUCCGGUUAGCUACUUUCUAAUUUACCAUCUGGUAAAGUGCUAAGUGUUAAAUGCCUGGGCUUUAGGGCUUCUUGAGUUUCUUCUUCAAGAAAAUAUAGAGCAGUUCUUCCCCAUUGGUACCUCCUGCAAGACUAGUCCCUGGACCAAGGCCGUGGGUGAAGGGGUGUUCCUGUUCUGGUGGCUUUGCCUGCCCGGGACACACUUAGACCACGGCUUUUGCCAGCAGGGAUGCCACCGUGGGCUCUGAACCUCUUCACAUUUCCCACCGAUGUCCUCAGACCCCAGCCCCACCCUGACUUCCCUGACACCUCCCUUUGUCACAAGAGGAAGUAGCCCUGCCCCCGGAAGCUAUCACCCUCUGAAACCUGGAAGUGGGCCACAUGAUGUAAGAGGAAGCUGAAGGCCGGCUGAAGACAAUGAGCUGGUACACUGGUCUGGAAGCUGGGUCCGCCUUCCAGCCAUGUGAGUUUUCCAGGUUCCCAUUUGAAAGCAAUUCUCAAACCACCCCUCUGGUUUCAGGGAUGACUGUGAAGGAUUCUGACGUAUUUACUGAAGAGCUCAUAGACCAGCUUGGGAGGAUAACCAAAUAAUAUCCAUAAAAGAGUUAUGAAAUGAGAUAAACUCCUGGAGGAGGGGCGUGUCUUAUACUUUCCUUUUUCUUUUAAAUUUACCAGUGCCUGCCUGUGAAUCCUCAGGAUUAAAAAUGCUUCCUUAGUUACCAAUUUACAUUAAUGUAUCCAUAGCCCCAGAAAGAACAACUACAGAUUGAGCAACUACAUCUAAGCACUUUUAAACAGAUCAACUCCACUCAUAAUACAGCCACUUGUGGUCAUCAGUUACUUAUCUCUUUCCUCAGAAGUGUCUUCAUUCCCCGGAAAUGGAAAUGUGCCCUCACCAGGAGCAGGUGGCACCCUGCUGGCAGCCUCCCUCCCAGGAUAGUAUCAACACUUCACGUGGGGCCAUUCCCUCGUAACAACUGAUGUAUCCUUGCAGUAGCUUACUCUCCCCCAUCCUCAAACCAACUUUGAAAAUACCAUACAAGCAGAACAUCACAGUAAAGGUGGGCUGACCCCUGCCCGGCAGGAGAAAAGCCUCUGCUGGAACUGGACCUGCGAAGACCCAGCACAAUGAGGAUCAGAUGAGGGGAAAGUCAGCAACAGUACACCGUGAAGCCACCUGAAACGGGCAUGCAAUCAGAUCGAGCUGUAGGAUGGCUCCCCUCUUAAGAGCUGGCUUGGGGUGACAGAGGCUGGCCUGUGACCCGCACUUCCCUUCCUGACUUACACGGUCGCUGGCUUCUUGCUGGGCACCGGAAUAAAGAAUCCAUUCUCGGGGGCCUGGUGUAGCAGAUGAGGUUUGCUUGCUGUAACCCAAGAUCCUUAACGGAGGCCUGUGGGGACAGAAUGACAGAAACAGCUCAAGAACUAAGAUUAAGAAAACCUCUAAGAAAGAAAGGAAACUGAAGGGGAAGUGGAGAGACAGCAAUUCAGGACCAUGAGCUGAGGAUUCUCCAGGCAUUAACUGCUGCCUGGCCUGGCACACAAGAGUCCCCUAAGAGUGGUGCUGGUGGCCCAUUCAUUGAUGAGAAUAUGAAGCUUCGAGAAGUUAAGUGUCUUGCCAAAAGACAGUGCCUCCUUUAGAAAACAAAAGCACAACAACAGCAAAACAAAACAAAAAGCAAGAACUGAACUCAGUUCUUCUCACCUGUAGACUUAAUUUUUCAUUGUUUUAUGUUGUGUAGAUAACAGAUGCUAUUAUGGUUUAUUACCUGGCAGACCCCC